rnacentral:rRNA from 1 species
UUAAGUUAAUAAGGGCGCACGGUGGAUGCCUUGGCACUAGAAGCCGAUGAAGGACGUGACUAACGACGAAAUGCUUUGGGGAGCUGUAAGUGAGCAAUGAUCCAGAGAUGUCCGAAUGGGGGAACCCGGCAGGUAAUGCCUGUCACUCAUUACUGUUAAGGUAAUGUAGAGGAAGACGCAGUGAACUGAAACAUCUAAGUAGCUGUAGGAAGAGAAAGCAAAAGCGAUUGCCUUAGUAGCGGCGAGCGAAACGGCAAGAGGGCAAACCGAAGAGUUUACUCUUCGGGGUUGUAGGACUGCAACGUGGACUUAAAGAUUAUAGAAGAACUACCUGGGAAGGUAGGCCAAAGAGAGUAAUAGCCUCGUAUUCGAAAUAGUCUUUAUACCUAGCAGUAUCCUGAGUACGGCGAGACACGAGAAAUCUCGUCGGAAUCUGGGAGGACCAUCUCCCAACCCUAAAUACUCUCUAGUGACCGAUAGUGAACCAGUACCGUGAGGGAAAGGUGAAAAGCACCCCGGGAGGGGAGUGAAAUAGAACCUGAAACCGUGUGCCUACAACAAGUUCGAGCCCGUUAAUGGGUGAGAGCGUGCCUUUUGUAGAAUGAACCGGCGAGUUACGAUAUGAUGCGAGGUUAAGUUGAAGAGACGGAGCCGUAGGGAAACCGAGUCUUAAUAGGGCGCAUUAGUAUCAUGUCGUAGACCCGAAACCAUGUGACCUACCCAUGAGCAGGUUGAAGGUGAGGUAAAACUCACUGGAGGACCGAACCAGGGCACGUUGAAAAGUGCUUGGAUGACUUGUGGGUAGCGGAGAAAUUCCAAACGAACUUGGAGAUAGCUGGUUCUCUCCGAAAUAGCUUUAGGGCUAGCGUCGAUGUUAAGUCUCUUGGAGGUAGAGCACUGUUUGGGUGAGGGGUCCAUCCCGGAUUACCAAUCUCAGAUAAACUCCGAAUGCCAAUGAGAUAUAAUCGGCAGUCAGACUGCGAGUGCUAAGAUCCGUAGUCGAAAGGGAAACAGCCCAGACCACCAGCUAAGGUCCCAAAAUAUAUGUUAAGUGGAAAAGGAUGUGGGGUUGCACAGACAACUAGGAUGUUAGCUUAGAAGCAGCUAUUCAUUCAAAGAGUGCGUAAUAGCUCACUAGUCGAGUGACCCUGCGCCGAAAAUGUACCGGGGCUAAAACAUAUUACCGAAGCUGUGGAUACCUUUAUAGGUAUGGUAGGAGAGCGUUCUAUGUGCGAAGAAGGUGUACCGUGAGGAGUGCUGGAGCGCAUAGAAGUGAGAAUGCCGGUAUGAGUAGCGAAAGACAGGUGAGAAUCCUGUCCACCGUAAGACUAAGGUUUCCAGGGGAAGGCUCGUCCGCCCUGGGUUAGUCGGGACCUAAGGAGAGACCGAAAGGUGUAUCCGAUGGACAACAGGUUGAUAUUCCUGUACUAGAGUAUAUAGUGAUGGAGGGACGCAGUAGGCUAACUAAACCAGACGAUUGGAAGUGUCUGGCCAAGCAGUGAGGUGUGAUAUGAGUCAAAUGCUUAUAUCUUUAACAUUGAGCUGUGAUGGGGAGCGAAGUUUAGUAGCGAAGUUAGUGAUGUCACACUGCCGAGAAAAGCUUCUAGCGUUAAUUAUACUCUACCCGUACCGCAAACCGACACAGGUAGUCGAGGCGAGUAGCCUCAGGUGAGCGAGAGAACUCUCGUUAAGGAACUCGGCAAAAUGGCCCCGUAACUUCGGGAGAAGGGGCGCUGACUGAUGGUCAGCCGCAGUGAAUAGGCCCAAGCAACUGUUUAUCAAAAACACAGCUCUCUGCUAAAUCGUAAGAUGAUGUAUAGGGGGUGACGCCUGCCCGGUGCUGGAAGGUUAAGAGGAGUGCUUAGCGUAAGCGAAGGCAUGAAUUGAAGCCCCAGUAAACGGCGGCCGUAACUAUAACGGUCCUAAGGUAGCGAAAUUCCUUGUCGGGUAAGUUCCGACCCGCACGAAAGGCGUAAUGAUUUGGGCACUGUCUCAACGAGAGACUCGGUGAAAUUUUAGUACCUGUGAAGAUGCAGGUUACCCGCGACAGGACGGAAAGACCCCAUGGAGCUUUACUGCAGUUUGAUAUUGAGUAUCUGUACCACAUGUACAGGAUAGGUAGGAGCCUAUGACCUCGGGACGCCAGUUUCGAGUGAGGCGUUGUUGGGAUACUACCCUUGUGUUAUGGCUACUCUAACCCAGAUAGGUUAUCCCUAUCGGAGACAGUGUCUGACGGGCAGUUUGACUGGGGCGGUCGCCUCCUAAAAGGUAACGGAGGCGCCCAAAGGUUCCCUCAGAAUGGUUGGAAAUCAUUCGCAGAGUGUAAAGGUAUAAGGGAGCUUGACUGCGAGAGUUACAACUCGAGCAGGGACGAAAGUCGGGCUUAGUGAUCCGGUGGUUCCGCAUGGAAGGGCCAUCGCUCAACGGAUAAAAGCUACCCUGGGGAUAACAGGCUUAUCUCCCCCAAGAGUUCACAUCGACGGGGAGGUUUGGCACCUCGAUGUCGGCUCGUCGCAUCCUGGGGCUGUAGUCGGUCCCAAGGGUUGGGCUGUUCGCCCAUUAAAGCGGCACGCGAGCUGGGUUCAGAACGUCGUGAGACAGUUCGGUCCCUAUCCGUCGCGGGCGUAGGAAAUUUGAGAGGAUCUGCUCCUAGUACGAGAGGACCAGAGUGGACUUACCGCUGGUGUACCAGUUGUUCUGCCAAGAGCAUCGCUGGGUAGCUAUGUAGGGAAGGGAUAAACGCUGAAAGCAUCUAAGUGUGAAGCCCACCUCAAGAUGAGAUUUCCCAUGAUUUUAUAUCAGUAAGAGCCCUGAGAGAUGAUCAGGUUGAUAGGUUAGAAGUGGAAGUGUGGUGACACAUGUAGCGGACUAAUACUAAUAGCUCGAGGACUUAUCCAA